rnacentral:piRNA from 1 species
GCCAAGUGCUAGUUAGAGAUUGAGG